rnacentral:rRNA from 1 species
GAUGAACGCUGGCGGCGUGCUUAACACAUGCAAGUCGAACGAAGCGCUUAAACGGAUUUCUUCGGAAUGAAGUUUUUGCGACUGAGUGGCGGACGGGUGAGUAACGCGUGGGUAACCUGCCUCAUACAGGGGGAUAACAGUUAGAAAUGACUGCUAAUACCGCAUAAGCGCACAGUGCUGCAUGGCACAGUGUGAAAAACUCCGGUGGUAUGAGAUGGACCCGCGUCUGAUUAGCUAGUUGGUGGGGUAACGGCCUACCAAGGCGACGAUCAGUAGCCGGCCUGAGAGGGUGAACGGCCACAUUGGGACUGAGACACGGCCCAA